rnacentral:RNase_P_RNA from 1 species
CAGGUGGGCCGGGCGACCGCGCGGCGUCGUCGUUCGCGACGGCGUCUCGAGGAAAGUCCGGGCUCCGCAGAGCAGGACGGUGGGUAACACCCACUCGGGGAAACCCGCAGGACAGUGCCACAGAAAACAGACCGCCCGCCACGAGCGGGUCAGGGUGAAAAGGUGGUGUAAGAGACCACCAGCGGCCCCGGUGACGGGGCCGGCUCGGUAAACCCCAUCCGGUGCAAGGCCGAACAGGACGCGUCACGAGGGCUGCUCGC